rnacentral:rRNA from 1 species
GACGAACGCUGGCGGCGUGCCUAAUACAUGCAAGUUGAGCGCUGAAGGUUGGUACUUGUACCAACUGGAUGAGCAGCGAACGGGUGAGUAACGCGUGGGGAAUCUGCCUUUGAGCGGGGGACAACAUUUGGAAACGAAUGCUAAUACCGCAUAAAAACUUUAAACACAAGUUUUAAGUUUGAAAGAUGCAAUUGCAUCACUCAAAGAUGAUCCCGCGUUGUAUUAGCUAGUUGGUGAGGUAAAGGCUCACCAAGGCGAUGAUACAUAGCCGACCUGAGAGGGUGAUCGGCCACAUUGGGACUGAGACACGGCCCAAACUCCUACGGGAGGCAGCAGUAGGGAAUCUUCGGCAACGGACGAAAGUCUGACCGAGCAACGCCGCGUGAGUGAAGAGGGUUUUCGGAUCGUAAAACUCUGUUGGUAGAGAAGAACGUUGGUGAGAGUGGAAAGCUCAUCAAGUGACGGUAACUACCCAGAAAGGGACGGCUAACUACGUG